rnacentral:rRNA from 1 species
UACAGGGGGGGGCAAGCGUUGUUCGGAAUUACUGGGCGUAAAGGGCUCGUAGGUGGCCAACUAAGUCAGACGUGAAAUCCCUCAGCUUAACUGGGGAACUGCGUCUGAUACUGGAUGGCUUGAGUUUGGGAGAGGGAUGCGGAAUUCCAGGUGUAGCGGUGAAAUGCGCAGAUAUCAGGAAGAACACCCGUGGCGAAGGCGGCUCUCUGGGACGGUACUGACGCUGAGACGCGAAAGCGUGGGGAGCGAACAGG